rnacentral:rRNA from 1 species
AUUGAACGCUGGCGGCAGGCCUAACACAUGCAAGUCGAGCGGAGCUGCGGACGGGUGAGUAAUGCCUAGGAAUAUGCCUGGUAUUGGGGGAUAACGUCCGGAAACGGGCGCUAAUACCGCAUACUAUCAGAUGAGCCUAGGUCGGAUUAGCUAGCUGGAGGGGUAAAGGCCUACCAAGGCGACGAUCCGUAACUGGCCUGAGUGGAUGAUCAGUCACACUGGAACUGAGACACGGUCCAGACUCCUACGGGAGGCAGCAGUGGGGAAUAUUGCACAAUGGGCGAAAGCCUGAUCCAGCAAUGCCGCGUGUGUGAAGAAGGUCUUCGGAUUGUAAAGCACUGUAAGUUGGGAGGCGUUACCAACAGAAUAAGCACCGGCUAACUUCGUGCCAGCAGCCGCGGUAAUUC